AGGUGUAAAANUAAAAGGAAAAAAUUGAUAUUACGUUACAUAUAAGUGUUGCCNAAAUAACUGGUGCCAGAAGACUCGGUAACGCCAGAAACGCGAACGUUAGUCUCUUAAACAGGCGUAAAGGGUAAGUAGGCUGCUUUAAAAUCUAAUUUAUAAUAAAGCUAAUUAAUAAUAAUUUUCUUAGCUAUGCUUCGCAUAGCAACUCUUUGUUUAAAUUAUUUAAAUAAAGAUAAAAAGAUAAAGAUAAAGAGAGGUUGCUUUUUUUAUUCUUAUUUUUACCUUUGCUUUUUCGCCCUUGGGCUUUGUUCUUAUUUUUAUUAUAAAAAAAAGAAUAAAAACAAAGCAAGGCAAACAGAUAAGAAUAAAAAUAAUAAUAAAUAAAAUUAAAAAAUAGAUACAUUUAAAGCUAGAAUCAUAAAGGAGAUAAACCAAAUAAUGCUUACGUGUAAGGGCGAUAUCUAAAAAUACAAAGUAGAAUACUAAAGGUGAAAACUUUUUAUCUGGUAAUGAUUGACGCUGAGGUACGACAGUGAGAACAGGGAAUAGGAUUAGAUACCCAGUUACCUCUCACCGUGCAACGAUGUAAUGGUAAUUAUUAAUUGGAUUAGAUUCACGACUAUGUAUUACGCGAUUACCAUUUCCGCCUUGAAGAGUAACGGUUNNGCNAAUNUCGUUAAACCANAUUAAUUUACUUUGUCCUCGCCCUGUCGUUAGUCCAUUCAGACACACGGGCACGAAG
rnacentral:rRNA from 1 species